UUUCCGUAGGUGAACCUGCGGAAGGAUCAUUAUUGUACAAAAUGUGCGAGGCAUGCGAGGGCUGUCGUUGACCCCAAAGUCGUGCACGCCCGAGUGUGUCCUCUUGCAUAAUAAUCCAUCUCACCCUUUGUGCAUCACCGCGUGGGCACCCUUCGGGAUCAUCUCGGAGGGGGGCUCGCUUUUUCACACAAACCCCCCUUUUAAAAGUGUAUAAUGACCACAUUUAUGCAAUCAAUACAACUUUCAACAACGGAUCUCUUGGCUCUC
rnacentral:misc_RNA from 1 species